rnacentral:rRNA from 1 species
GGAUCAUUACACAAAUAUGAAGGCGGGCUGGAACCUCUCGGGGUUACAGCCUUGCUGAAUUAUUCACCCUUGUCUUUUGCGUACUUCUUGUUUCCUUGGUGGGUUCGCCCACCACUAGGACAAACAUAAACCUUUUGUAAUUGCAAUCAGCGUCAGUAACAAAUUAAUAAUUACAACUUUCAACAACGGAUCUCUUGGUUCUGGCAUCGAUGAAGAACGCAGCGAAAUGCGAUAAGUAGUGUGAAUUGCAGAAUUCAGUGAAUCAUCGAAUCUUUGAACGCACAUUGCGCCCUUUGGUAUUCCAAAGGGCAUGCCUGUUCGAGCGUCAUUUGUACCCUCAAGCUUUGCUUGGUGUUGGGCGUCUUGUCUCUAGCUUUGCUGGAGACUCGCCUUAAAGUAAUUGGCAGCCGGCCUACUGGUUUCGGAGCGCAGCACAAGUCGCACUCUCUAUCAGCAAAGGUCUAGCAUCCAUUAAGCCUUUUUUUUCAACUUUUGACCUCGGAUCAGGUAGGGAUACCCGCUGAACUUAAGCAUAUCAAUAAGCGGAGGAAAAGAAACCAACAGGGAUUGCCCUAGUAACGGCGAGUGAAGCGGCAACAGCUCAAAUUUGAAAUCUGGCUCUUUUAGAGUCCGAGUUGUAAUUUGCAGAGGGCGCUUUGGCUUUGGCAGCGGUCCAAGUUCCUUGGAACAGGACGUCACAGAGGGUGAGAAUCCCGUACGUGGUCGCUGGCUAUUGCCGUGUAAAGCCCCUUCGACGAGUCGAGUUGUUUGGGAAUGCAGCUCUAAAUGGGAGGUACAUUUCUUCUAAAGCUAAAUAUUGGCCAGAGACCGAUAGCGCACAAGUAGAGUGAUCGAAAGAUGAAAAGCACUUUGGAAAGAGAGUCAAACAGCACGUGAAAUUGUUGAAAGGGAAGCGCUUGCAGCCAGACUUGCUUACAGUUGCUCAUCCGGGUUUCUACCCGGUGCACUCUUCUGUAGGCAGGCCAGCAUCAGUUUGGGCGGUAGGAUAAAGGUCUCUGUCACGUACCUCCUUUCGGGGAGGCCUUAUAGGGGAGACGACAUACUACCAGCCUGGACUGAGGUCCGCG